AUGUACUAGUUAUUAAUUUAUACUUUUAAUAUGGUUAAAUUAUUAUUAAAUUUUUUAAAAAGAAUUACACAUCGCGAAGUGCGGGGUUUAUCACUAAAUUUAGGAGGAAAUCAGCAGGAUAGGAAAAAAAAAUAUAAAGUCUGCUCUUAGGGGUUAGUAGAGUUUCGGUGAUGAGUAGAUGUUUCCAAACGUCACACGACUGACAACUGUUCUCACGCCAGAUCCGGAGCGGGUCUCGCUCCGGAUCUGGCGUGAGAACAAUCGUGAGUCUCAGAUCUCUUCAUCACCUGAUUCUUUUGCUUAAUUGUGCCCGCGCUCUAAAGUCCUAAAGUGAAAAUUUGUGUUUCUCUGGAUUGUCAAGACUGACAUUUUUUGAUAUGCUUUGAAUCCGGAGCAAAAUUGUUUAGGGGAAUUUCAGAUCUGUAUGGUGGUUCUCACGACAGAAUUGGCAACUCUUACCUAAAGAGAACUUAAGUACCAAAGUAAGCAGUUAGUUGGCAGUAGUUAUCAUAAAUCCAGUUUCACGAGUAGUCUCCGAUCGAAAACACAGAAGAUGGAGAAGUCGUAUUCGACCACUUUAUCGUAUACGCAAAGUGCUUUGGUUUCCAUACCUUGCCUACGCCGGUUUAUAUAGAAAUCGCUACACAUAGCCAUAUAGAAAAUGGUACAGACUUGAUAAUACGAUGGUUUUCAAAGAGGAUUUAUUCAAAGUUAUAUACCUUUUGGUAAUAACAAUUAUUUCAUAUAUGGCAAUCGGAAUUUAUUACAAAUGUAUCAACAAGGACCAAUGAGACAGGAGCUUCAAUCCCCUGGAAUGAUUGCAUAUGGGCUCCCUCCUUCUAUGAUUGGAUAUGGAUCAUCGCCACAUAUGAUUGGUUACGGACCAUAUCCUAAUAUGAUUGGUUACGGACCAUAUCCUAAUAUGAUUGGUUACGGACCAUAUCCUAAUAUGAUUGGUUACGGACCAUAUCCUAAUAUGAUUGGUUAC